rfam:Coccidioides immitis RMSCC 2394 supercont1.13 genomic scaffold, whole genome shotgun sequence.
CCCGCUGAACUUAAGCAUAUCAAUAAGCGGAGGAAAAGAAACCAACAGGGAUUGCCUCAGUAACGGCGAGUGAAGCGGCAAAAGCUCAAAUUUGAAAUCUGGCUCCAUGCGGAGCCCGAGUUGUAAUUUGGAGAGGACACUUCGGGUGCGGCCACGGCAUAAGUUCCUUGGAACAGGACGUCAUAGAGGGUGAGAAUCCCGUCUUUGGCUGCUGGACCGCGCCCAUGCGAAGUUCCUUCGACGAGUCGAGUUGUUUGGGAAUGCAGCUCUAAGUGGGUGGUAAAUUUCAUCUAAAGCUAAAUAUUGGCCGGAGACCGAUAGCGCACAAGUAGAGUGAUCGAAAGGUUAAAAGCACCUUGAAAAGGGAGUUAAAUAGCACGUGAAAUUGUUGAAAGGGAAGCGCUUGCAACCAGACUCGGUCGUGGGGGCUCAGCGGGCAUGCGUGCCCGUGUACUCCCCCAUGCUCCGGGCCAGCAUCAGUUCUGGCGGUUGGUUAAAGGCCUCUGGAAUGUAUCGUCCUCCGGGACGUCUUAUAGCCAGGGGCGCAAUGCGGCCAGCCGGGACUGAGGAACGCGCUUCGGCACGGAUGCUGGCAUAAUGGUUGUAAGCGGCCCGUCUUGAAACACGGACCAAGGAGUCUAACAUCCACGCGAGUGUUCGGGUGUCAAACCCGUGCGCGCAGUGAAAGCGAACGGAGGUGGGAGCCCGCAAGGGUGCACCAUCGACCGAUCCUGAAGUCUUCGGAUGGAUUUGAGUAAGAGCGUGGCUGUUGGGACCCGAAAGAUGGUGAACUAUGCCUGAAUAGGGUGAAGCCAGAGGAAACUCUGGUGGAGGCUCGCAGCGGUUCUGACGUGCAAAUCGAUCGUCAAAUUUGGGUAUAGGGGCGAAAGACUAAUCGAACCAUCUGGUAGCUGGUUCCUGCCGAAGUUUCCCUCAGGAUAGCAGUAACGUUUUCAGUUUUAUGAGGUAAAGCGAAUGAUUAGAGGCCUUGGGGUUGAAACAACCUUAACCUAUUCUCAAACUUUAAAUAUGUAAGAAGCCCUUGUUACUUAAGUGAACGUGGGCAUUAGAAUGGAUCGUUACUAGUGGGCCAUUUUUGGUAAGCAGAACUGGCGAUGCGGGAUGAACCGAACGCGAGGUUAAGGUGCCGGAAUGCACGCUCAUCAGACACCACAAAAGGUGUUAGUUCAUCUAGACAGCCCGACGGUGGCCAUGGAAGUCGGAAUCCGCUAAGGAGUGUGUAACAACUCACGGGCCGAAUGAACUAGCCCUGAAAAUGGAUGGCGCUCAAGCGUGCUACCCAUACCUCGCCGUCGGGGUAGAAACGAAGCCCCGACGAGUAGGCAGGCGUGGAGGUUUGUGACGAAGCCUUGGGAGUGAUCCCGGGUCGAACAGCCUCUAGUGCAGAUCUUGGUGGUAGUAGCAAAUACUCAAAUGAGAACUUUGAGGACUGAAGUGGGGAAAGGUUCCAUGUGAACAGCAGUUGGACAUGGGUUAGUCGAUCCUAAGACAUAGGGUAGUUCCGUUUGAAAGCGCGCCCUAGUGCGCCGUUUGUCGAAAGGGAAGCCGGUUAAUAUUCCGGCACCUGGAUGUGGAUUCUCCACGGCAACGUAACUGAACGCGGAGACGUCGGCAGGAGUCCUGGGAAGAGUUCUCUUUUCUUCUUGACGGCCUAUCACCCUGAAAUCGGUUUGUCCGGAGCUAGGGUUUCAUGGCCGCGCAGAGCCCCGCACCUUUGCGGGGUCCGGUGCGCUUCUGACGACCCCUUGAAAAUCCGCGGGAAGGAAUAGUUUUCACGCCAGGUCGUACUCAUAACCGCAGCAGGUCUCCAAGGUGAAAAGCCUCUAGUU